CAAGAAGUAGUUUAGUUAGAAUGUCGGCUUUGGGGGCCGAAGGUGCAAAGUUUUGUUUGCUUUCUUGA
rnacentral:tRNA from 1 species